rnacentral:lncRNA from 1 species
AGAAGCCCCCAGGGCAGAGUUCCCUGCUCCAGCUGGCCCAAGGCCGGCCUUGUUCUCUGCGCUAAGGUGGUAGGGUCUCCUGGCUGCCACUAAGCCCUUCUUAUAGUGCUCCGAGAGUGCCAGCUCGGCUGAGGACCUAAGAAUAUCCUCUGAUGACCCUAGAGGAGUCCCCCGCUUCCUAAACAGCCUGGGGUGCGAGCUAGAACGCAAGAGACAAUCAGACUGCGCUUCCCCUCCCCAAUUUAAACUGGAUCUCGCUUGGCGCGCACCAGCUGGCCUGGCAUGACUUUAGCCCUCUGCCCCAAACCAACCCUCACCUCGCACCGCUCGGGGGUCCUCACGCCAGGCCGGAGCUGGACGCCAUAACCAGGUCAGGGUCCUUGGGUGGACUGGGAUCCUCCAGCAGGACGGUGGAGACGCGGAGAAGGCAGGCAGGCGGUGGUCUUUUUGAUCCUGGACGCCUUGAUCUUAAUACCAGCCCGGCCCGCGAGCAGGUAUCCGGGAGGCGCUGGUUGCCUGGGUUCCUGCCUCCCAACCGCGGAGCAUGGUCCUGGGCACCGGCAGCAGCGGGAGAGCUAGCGCACCGCCGUGCCGGGGCUCCGGGCUGGGGUCUCGGCCCAAACCUCUCGGCUCCGGCUGCUGCCGCUCCUGCUCCUCCUCCUCCCUUCCUUCCUUCCUUCCUUCCUUCGCCUCCUCCUUUCACUUUCCCCGAGGCCCGCGGGGACGGCGGGCGCGGGGCGGGGAGGGGGCUGUCUAGGCGCUUAUUGUUGGUCGGAUGCCGAGGGUCCAGAUCGCAGCCCCCGGGCGGCGCGGCGCCAGGGGACCCAGGCGUGCGGGCGUCCGGCCGGCUGGCUCCGGGCGGCGGCGGUGCUGCAGCGGCCCCGGAUCCGGGGCAUGUCCGGCCACUGGCUCCGCCGCGCGCCGCCGCCUCCCCGGGAUCCCCUGCGCUGCCGGAGCCUAGCUCGCCCCUCCACUCCGCUCCUCUCCCCAGCCUGAAUAAGCAUCGGGGCUCUCUGGCUGCCUCCUUCUGCCUUCAUACCAGAGCCGGGAGAGGCCCCUGUCAAAAUAAGAGCUCCCCCAUCUCGCCCGACUCCUCGCCCAACCCGGCUCCCCCAGCCUCCCAGUGGUCUGACUCGGUAAGGCGCCCGACCGGCUAGCAGGAGCAGUUGGCCCUGGGCGGGGAAGGGGCCUUCGAGCUACCCUCCCCCUUUCCUAAGGACUAGGGAGGAGUGGCACCCACAGCAUCAGAGACUAGGAAGAGAUCUGACAAACCUACCGUGCUAUCUGCACGGAUUGGAAAGAGUGGGAGUUGCCUACGCACACGCACACACAUACACACACACACACACACAUCCCUAGCUCCCCUCUUUAUUGUACCCACCUACAUCCAUUUUGCACUGAGAGCACUCCCCCCCCCACCCCCAGGAUAUAGACUGAAUUUUUUUUUUUCAAUUAAACCUUCAGCAGUGCAAAUUGGAUGCUAAGAAAAUGUUUAAGGAAGUGAAACCUUUGUCUUCCCCAACUCUCCCUCCCCUCAAAAGGUUUCACACAUACAUUCACAGUACACACACAAACACCACCCUAUGGGAUGUUAGACCCAUGGAAGAAAAAAAUUCUAAGCAGUUCUUUAAAGCAUUGCCUAUAUUAUCUCAAUGGUUACCACCACGAAUUUACAAGGAAGGGGUAAAUGAGAAAAGUGAAGCUUGUGUGACUUAAGGAAUUACCAAGUUACACAACUAGAAUUGUGAACCUGGGACUAGAACUCAAGGCUUCUUCUCCCAGGCCAUUUUCCUUCUAUCUCACUGCCCCCUCACCUCCAAUGAAAUCAACCAGUGCCGAGCGAGCGCUGACUGCUUCACAAAGAACAGUAGCAACCUGUGUCUUCUGUUCCCCAUCACCUGUCACAUCAGUGCCACCCACCAGAGUACUGACUCCCAUAUGUGUCGUUCCUCCUGUCUGUACAUCUGGCUGGCAUGAGAUUCCUGAGGACUCAGAUCAUAACUUCCAGUCUCUGUGUUCCUUGCAUGACUGUCUCAGGUGCUGGCCAGGUUCACAGGAGGGCUUCAGUGAAUGUUUCUGGGUGGAUGGCCCAGGAGCUGGGCACUGGGCAAGAUCGGGGAGGUCCAGAUGAGGGGCAGGGGUAUAAGCCCUGAAUGAAGGGCUCAUCAUGACAGGAAGGGAAGGCCGGAGGAUCAGUUCAAGAGCAGCUUCAGCUUCAUAUGGAACCCGAGCUCCAACUGGGCAAAUAUGAGUUUCUAUCUAAAACAAUAAAAUAAAUGAUAAAUUAAAC